rnacentral:rRNA from 1 species
AAGCUAUUAAGGGUGCAUGGUGGAUAUCUUGGCAGUAAGAGGCGACGAAGGACGCGUAUUAGACUGCGAAAUGCUUCGGGGAGCCGUCAAAUAGGCUUUGAUCCGGAGGUGUCCGAAUGGGGAAACCCUGCUACUGGAGACAGUAGUAACGGCAUGGUGAGUAAAGUAGCCAUGUGCGAGCGAACCGAGGGAACUGAAACAUCUAAGUACCUCGAGGAAGAUAAAUCAACCGAGAUUCCGCUAGUAGCGGCGAGCGAACGCGGACUAGGCCAAACCAGUAUGCUUGCAUGCUGGGGUUGUAGGACUUACAUCAAGGGGAAACUGGUAAGGGAACGAUCUGGGAAGGUCGACCAUAGAGAGUGAAAGUCUCGUACUUAAAACUGGUAGAACUGGGUAAGUAUCCUGAGUAGGACGGGACACGAGAAAUCUUGUCUGAAUCUGGGGGGACCACCCUCCAAGCCUAAAUACUCCUUACUGACCGAUAGUGAACAAGUACCGUGAGGGAAAGAUGAAAAGAACCCCGAUAAGGGGAGUGAAAUAGAACUUGAAACCAUGCACUUACAAUCGGUGGAAGCGUUAUUGUAAAGCGUGACCACGUACCUUUUGCAUUAUGAGCCAUCGAGUUACGAUGUGUAGCAAGGUUAAGCCUUUAGGUGUAGCCGUAGGGAAACCGAGUCUGAAUAGGGCGAUUAGUUGCAUGUCGUAGACCCGAAACGGGAUGAGCUUACCAUGGGCAGGUUGAAGCGAGGGUAAAACCUCGUGGAGGACCGAACCCGUUAAGGUUGAAAACUUUUGGGAUGACCUGUGGUAAGGGGUGAAAGGCCAAUCAAAUUCCGUGAUAGCUGGUUCUCUCCGAAAUGCAUUUAGGUGCAGCGUCUAAUGAAUACCGUCGGGGGUAUAGCACUGAAUUGGCUAGGGGGCUUACCGGCUUACCAAACCAUAUCAAACUCAGAAUACCGACGAGUACUGUUAGGCAGUGAGACUGCGGAUGCUAAGGUCCGUAGUCGAAAGGGAAAGAGCCCAGACCAUCAGCUAAGGUCCCUAAAUCGUGUCUAAGUGGCGAAGGUUGUGGAACUACUUUGACAUCCAGGAGGUUGGCUUAGAAGCAGCCACCCUUUAAAGA